UGGGGGAUAUUGCGCAAUGGGGGAAACCCUGACGCAGCAACGCCGCGUGAAGGAUGAAGGUCUUCGGAUUGUAAACUUCUGUCUUUGGGGAAGAAUAAUGACGGUACCCAAGGAGGAAGCCACGGCUAACUACGUGCCAGCAGCCGCGGUAAUACGUAGGUGGCAAGCGUUGUCCGGAUUUACUGGGUGUAAAGGGCGUGUAGGCGGGAAGAUAGGUCAGAUGUGAAAUCCAUGGGCUCAACCCAUGAACUGCAUUUGAAACCAUUUUUCUUGAGUGUCGGAGAGGAAAGCGGAAUUCCUAGUGUAGCGGUGAAAUGCGUAGAUAUUAGGAGGAACACCAGUGGCGAAGGCGGCUUUCUGGACGAUAACUGACGCUGAGGCGCGAAAGCGUGGGGAGCAAACA
rnacentral:rRNA from 1 species